CCUAUGGCUAGCUCGCGGUUUUCGUCGAUGUGAGUACUAGGCUUAUGAAAGAAAAUGUCUGAGCAGGUUGUAAAUCCGGAAUUUUUGGAGCAUUUCUACGCGGUUUUUUAUUAUAUAUGGAGACCAACUGUCCGUGUGUCCAUUACAAGGGAGGAAAUACAAAAUGCAUGUGCUUUGCUGAGCACAGUUGAUGGAAGACCAUUUUCUUUGAUGAACGACAUCGGAUUUAGGCGGAUUCUGAAUCCGUUAAUUGAAGGAUUAGGAUGUGAAAACUUUAUUAAUCCUCAAAACGUCCGUGAUGAUGUUGUAGCCAAAUCAGAGAAGCUCGUCGAAAAAAUAAAAGAAGAAACUAAAAGAAAAAUUAUCGCACUUAAAAUCGACGGCUUGACUCAUCUGAAUCGAUAGUUUAUUGGAGUAAACAUUUAAUUUAUUUCUGAUGGACAUCUGGUCCUGCGCACAUUGGCAACUGAAGAAAUGUUUGCCUGCCUUACUGCUGCAAAUUUAAAAGAUACCAUCCUUUUUGUUUUAAAUCGAUUCGAGAUCAGUUCCCAGCAAAUUUUUUCUUGCACCACUGAUAAUGGACGGAAUAUGGGCAAGUUUGUGGAACUUCUAAGUAACGAAAACAUUCCGGAGGACUUAUCCAAUGACUCUUCAUACGAGAAUGAAACCGAUGUCGACAACGACUUGUCUUUUAUGAAUAACGUUGUUAUUGAAAUUAAGUGCAUAAGUGUUCGUUGUGCAGCACAUACUCUUCAGUUGGCGGUCAAUGCAGUACUUAAAGACAAAAAUUGUUCGAAAACAAUUGGUUUUGCCAGGAACUUGGUCAAAAAAUUGCGAGCACCAACCCGUCUUACAUUAUGAAGGAGAAAAAUUUAAGAAAACCGCCUAUUGAUUGUCCUACGCGUUGGAGCUCGUCCUACAAAAUGUUAGCGUAUUUGGUAGAAAAUGCAGUAUACCAUUUUUGCUCAACCUAUGGAGUGGCUAACUCCGAUUUAUAUCUGGAUCAAGAAGUUUGGGAUUCAAUUCGCAAAAUUGUAAGCCUAUUAGAGCCAGCUGAGGUUGCCACAGCGAAACGUCAAAGCCAAAAUUUGGUUUUCGGAGACUUUUACCACAUUUGGAUUAGUUGUAAGCUACUUGUGCAGAAAAAUAACUCAAAGUUGGCCAAAUUUUUGUUAAGGGAAUUGGAAGAACGUGAAAUUUUAUUAUUUGAAAACGAUGCAUUUCUGUGUGGAAUAUUCUUAGAUCCCAGAGUCAAUAUUACCUUAAGCAAAAAUCAAAAACAGACUUGUAUUAAUCUAUUAUACAAUAUUUACUUCCAAAUUCUAUCGAUAUCAAAUAAUUCAACAUCAAUUCUUGAGAAAAGCUUAGAAACAAGUCUUUCAGAAUGCUCCGACAAAGUUGAUAAAUACCUAAAAUUGGAAGAAGCAAGAUCUGUAGACUCACCUUCAUGUAUGUCUACAUGCAGCCUUUUAGAAUCAAUACAAAUUUUUCUAAAACAAAGGUGCCUUUCCAAGUCAACAGACAUUAUGGUGGCCUGAAUCUUCCGAAAAGUUCCCAGAGUUGUUUACAAUUUCUUAAGUGGCCCUAUGUGUUCCUGCUACGCAAUUGAGCGUAGAGAGGUUAUUUUCCAGCGUUAAUAUAGUUUAUUUAUUUUAUCGAAUGCAAUAUCAUUUUUCGUCACAACUGUUGAUAUCAGAAAUUUUUGUUAAAGGCGCGUUCGCCACUACUUUCUACCU